rnacentral:rRNA from 1 species
UACGGGGGGGGCAAGCGUUGUUCGGAAUUACUGGGCGUAAAGCGCGUGUAGGCGGCCACUGCAAGUCGGGUGUGAAAGCCCUGGGCUCAACCUAGGAAGUGCACUCGAAACUGCGGGGCUUGAAGUCUGGAGAGGAAGGCGGAAUUCUCGGUGUAGAGGUGAAAUUCGUAGAUAUCGAGAGGAACACCGGUGGCGAAGGCGGCCUUCUGGACAGCACUUGACGCUGAGACGCGAAAGCGUGGGGAGCAAACAGG